rnacentral:rRNA from 1 species
GGAGGGUGCAAGCGUUGUUCGGAAUCACUGGGCGUAAAGGGCGUGUAGGCGGUCCGCUAAGUCUGAUGUGAAAGCCCGAGGCUUACCCUCGGAAGUGCAUUGGAGACUGGCGGACUGGAGUCCCGGAGAGGAGGGUGGAAUUCCUGGUGUAGCGGUGAAAUGCGUAGAUAUCAGGAGGAACACCGGUGGCGAAGGCGGCCCUCUGGACGGUGACUGACGCUGAGACGCGAAAGCGUGGGGAGCAAACAGGAUUAGAUACCCUGGUAGUCCACGCCGUAAACGAUGGGUGCUAGUUGUUAGGAAGUUUACUUCUUAGUGACGUAGCUAACGCGUUAAGCACCCCGCCUGGGGAGUACGGUCGCAAGAUUA